AACGAACGCUGGCGGCAGGCCUAACACAUGCAAGUCGAGCGAGGGCUUCGGCCCUAGCGUCGGACGGGUGAGUAUCGCGCGGGAACGUGCGCUUCUCUCUGGAAUAUCACUGGGAAACAGGGCGUCUAAUAGGAGACGCUCUCGCGGGAUGGCUGAUCGUGCGGAAAGAUUUAUCGGGGAAGGAGCGGCCCGCGUCGGAUUAGGUAGUUGGUGGGGUAACGGCCUACCAAGCCGACGAUCCGUAGCUGGUGUGAGAGGAUGAUCAGCCACACUGGGACUGAGACACGGCCCAGACUCCUACGGGAGGCAGCAGUGGGGAAUAUUGGACAAUGGGCGCAACCCUGAUCCAGCCAUGCCGCGUGAGCGAUGAAGGCCUUAGGGUUGUAAAGCUCUUUCAGCCGGGAAGAUAAUGACGGUACCCGCAGAAGAAGCCCCGGCUAACUCCGUG
rnacentral:rRNA from 1 species